GCGAGAGUAGCUCAGCUGGUAGAGCGCAACCUUGCCAAGGUUGAGGUCGCGGGUUCGAAACCCGUCUCUCGCUCCA
rnacentral:tRNA from 1 species